GCGGGUGUAGUUCAAUGGUAGAACAUCAGCUUCCCAAGCUGAGAACGUGGGUUCGAUCCCCAUCACCCGCUCCA
rnacentral:tRNA from 2 species